UCCAAAUAUAGUAUCUUAAAAAUGUCAUAGUAUAGUAUGAUAAAUAUUUCAAAUUUUGGUAUUAUUAAAAAAAUUCAUACUUAAGUAUGAUAAAAAUGUAAAUUUCGGCAAAAAAGGUAAUAAUUUGGUAUGUUAAAGUCUGUCAUAGUAUAGUUUGUUAAAAAAAAAUUUGGUAUGAAAAAAAAAUGUCAUUGUUUAGUAUGUUGAUGAAGUCAUAGUAAAGUAUGAUUAAAUACGACAUAGUAUAGGAUGAUGAAAAAUUCAAAUUUUGGUAUUAAAAAAAACCUCAUAGUAUAGUAUGUUAAAAAAGUCUUGGUAUAAUAUGGCAAAAAUGUCAUUGUUUAGUAUGAUUAAAAAAUUUAAAUUGUGGUAUGACAAAACAUGUCAUGGUAUGUUUAAAAAUGUCAUAGUAUAUAAUGAUAAAGUUUCUAAAUGUUGGUAUGAAAAAAAUGUCAUAAUAAAUAUAAUGACUAAAUUUUGUAGUAUAGUAUGAUAAAAAUGUUACAGUACAGUAUGAUUAAAGGAUCAUAGAAUAGUUUAAUAAAAAAUGUCAUAGUAAAGUAUUUUGAUAAAUGUCAAAGUAUAGAAUGAUAAAAAGAAAUGUCAUAGUAUGGUAUGACUAAAAUUUGCCAUGGUAUGGUAUGCCAAAAAAAUCAUAUUAUAGUAUGAAAAUAAUGUCAAAGUAUAGUAUGAUUAUAAUUUCAUAGUAUAGUAUGAUAACUAAAUGUCAUAGUACAGUACGGUAAAAAUGUCAGUAUAGUAUGAAUUUAAAAAAAUCAUGAUAUGGUGUGAAAAAAAAAUUGCAUGGUAUAAUAUGAUAGAAAUAUUAUUAUCUGGCAUAAAAAAAGGUCAUAGUAUAGUAUGUAAAAAUUUUGAAUUUUGGUUUGACAAAUAAUGUAUUGUAUGGUAUGUUUCAAAUGAUUUCAUGAUUUCAAAUGUUGGUUGAAAAAAAUAUCAUAAAUAUGAUGAAUAAAUUUCGUAGUAUAAUGUGGUAAAAAUGUCAGGUGAAGUAUGAUUAAAAGAAUCAUAGUAUAGUAUUUUAAAAAAAUGUCAUGGUUAAGUAUGCCAAUAAAAUCAGAGUAUUGUACGGUAAAAAAAAUGUCAAGGUAUGAUAAAAAAUUUCAUAGUUAAGUAUUUUAAAACAGGUCAUUGGAUAGUAAGACAAAAAUAUCAAAGUAUAAUAUGAUAAUUUUCUCAAAGUAUAGUAUGAUAGAAAUUUAAUAGUAUAGCAUGAUAAAAAAAACGGCAUAGUAUAGUAUGGUAAAAAUUGUCAUAGUAUAGUAUGACAAUAAUGUCAAAGUAUAGUUCGGUAAAAAUGUCACAGUAUAGUAUGGUUAAAAAAAAUCAUAGUAUAGUAUAAAAAAAAUUGCGUAGUAUAGUAUAAUAGAAAUAUCAUUGUCUAGAAUGAAAGGUCGUAGUAUAGUAUGUGAAAUAAUGUCAAAGUGUAGUAUGAUAAAAAAAAUGGCGGUAUAGAUUAAGUUGUACAAUAUGAAUUGAAAUGAAAUGUCAUAGUAUAGUAUGAGUUAUAAAAUAUAAAAUAUUUUUUAUCUUAAAUUUUUCAGUCUUUUUGCUUGAAUUUGUUUUAUGCUUCUUAAUUUUAAUUGUUCUGAUCUCUCC